AUUGAACGCUGGCGGCAUGCCUUACACAUGCAAGUCGAACGGCAGCACGGGUGCUUACACCUGGUGGCGAGUGGCGAACGGGUGAGUAAUACAUCGGAACGUACCUUAUCGUGGGGGAUAACGCAGCGAAAGUUGCGCUAAUACCGCAUACGCCCUGAGGGGGAAAGCGGGGGACCGUAAGGCCUCGCGCGAUUAGAGCGGCCGAUGUCUGAUUAGCUUGUUGGUGAGGUAAAAGCUCACCAAGGCGAUGAUCAGUAGCUGGUCUGAGAGGACGAUCAGCCACACUGGGACUGGGACACGGCCCAGACUCCUACGGGAGGCAGCAGUGGGGAAUUUUGGACAAUGGGGGCAACCCUGAUCCAGCAAUGCCGCGUGAGUGAAGAAGGCCUUCGGGUUGUAAAGCUCUUUUGUCAGGGAAGAAACAGCAGCUCUAACACAGUCUGCGAAUGACGGUACCUGAAGAAUAAGCACCGGCUAACUACGUGCCAGCAGCCGCGGUAA
rnacentral:rRNA from 1 species